UUCUAUUUAAAGUUUAUUUUACGUAUUUAAAAUUAGGCUAAUAAUUAUUCAACAUUACGAGUUAAUAUUGCUUUGUGUUGUCCUAAAUAAGUUAUUGAUUAUUAUUUCCUUUUGAUUCAAUAGUUAGUUGACGGGUAAAUUUAACUUCUAUUCUUCCUCUUCAGAUUCGCCAGAUUCCUCUUCUGAGUCGCUGUCUUCGCUUCUCUU